UGCCAGCCGCCGCGGUAAUACGGAGGGUGCGAGCGUUAAUCGGAAUUACUGGGCGUAAAGCGCACGCAGGCGGUUUGUUAAGCUAGAUGUGAAAGCCCCGGGCUCAACCUUGGAACUGCAUUUAAUACUGCCAGACUUGAGAUCGGAAGAGGAAAGUGGAAUUUCUAGUGUAGAGGUGAAAUUCGUAGAUAUUAGAAGGAACAUCAGAGGCGAAGGCGGCUUUCUGGUCCGAUACUGACGCUGAGGUACGAAAGCGUGGGGAGCAAACAGGAUUAGAUA
rnacentral:rRNA from 1 species